GACGAACGCUGGCGGCGUGCUUAACACAUGCAAGUCGAACGGAAAGGCCCUGCUUUUGUGGGGUGCUCGAGUGGCGAACGGGUGAGUAACACGUGAGUAACCUGCCCUUGACUUUGGGAUAACUACAGGAACCUGGGGCUAAUACCGGAUAGAAGCUCUUGUUCCGUGGGGGGGGUGGGAAAGUUUCGGCGGUUGGGGAUGGACUCGCGGCUUAUCAGCUUGUUGGUGGGGUAGUGGCUUACCAAGGCUUUGACGGGUAGCCGGCCUGAGAGGGUGACCGGCCACAUUGGGACUGAGAUACGGCCCAGACUCCUACGGGAGGCAGCAGUGGGGAAUAUUGCACAAUGGGCGGAAGCCUGAUGCAGCAACGCCGCGUGCGGGAUGACGGCCUUCGGGUUGUAAACCGCUUUCGCCUGUGACGAAGCGUGAGUGACGGUAAUGGGUAAAGAAGCACCGGCUAACUACGUG
rnacentral:rRNA from 1 species